rnacentral:rRNA from 1 species
UACGUAGGGUGCAAGCGUUGUCCGGAAUUAUUGGGCGUAAAGAGCUCGUAGGCGGUUCGUCGCGUCGGCUGUGAAAACCCGGAGCUCAACUCCGGGCCUGCAGUCGAUACGGGCGGACUUGAGUGUUGCAGGGGAGACUGGAAUUCCUGGUGUAGCGGUGAAAUGCGCAGAUAUCAGGAGGAACACCGGUGGCGAAGGCGGGUCUCUGGGCAGUAACUGACGCUGAGGAACGAAAGCGUGGGUAGCAAACAGG